CUGGUAUUUUCUAUCUCACUGGAAAUCCCUAAAAUAGAGAAGAAGGCAGAACACUCCAGUCUCACAAGCUGUAGGGGCAAACCUGGCUGGGUAACAGUGUGACUUUGACGAAGUUUCUUGACUUGUCUGUGGCUCGAUUUCUCCUUUGAACAUGUGUCGGAUCGGAGUUCUUCCUGCAUGGUUUGUCCCAGGUUUACAGGAGACGUGCAGGUGAAGCGUGGAGCCCAGAGCCUGGCACAUACUGCGGGCCCUUUCAGGGUGCGGAUGGAGCGUCACGAGUCAAGGUUCUCCAACUGAGAAACAUGAAAUUGGUUCCAGUGUCUAUUUUUACAAACAGUGCUGCAGUGGACGUCUGUAGAUCUGUAUUUAUACAUCUCCAUCACCGCCUGUGGGAUAGACGUGCUCAAAGCAGGC
rnacentral:lncRNA from 1 species